rnacentral:rRNA from 1 species
AGGACGAACGCUGGCGGCGUGCUUAACACAUGCAAGUCGAACGAGGUUAUUGAAGAGCUUGCUCUGAGGUAGACCGAGUGGCGGACGGGUGAGUAACGCGUGAGGAACCUGUCUUACACAGGGGGAUAACGCACCGAAAGGUGUGCUAAUACCGCAUAAGACCACACUUUCGCAUGGAAGAGGGGUCAAAGGAGCGAUCCGGUGUAAGGUGGACUCGCGUCCCAUUAGGCAGUUGGCGGGUAACGGCCCACCAAACCGACGAUGGGUAGCCGACCUGAGAGGGUGAUCGGCCACAUUGGAACUGAGACACGGUCCAAACUCCUACGGGAGGCAGCAGUGGGGAAUAUUGGGCAAUGGGCGCAAAGCCUGACCCAGCAACGCCGCGUGAGGGAAGAAGGUUUUCGGAUUGUAAACCUCUGUCCUCGAUGAAAAGGAGAAGAUGGUAAUUGAGGAGGAAGCCCCGGCUAACUACGUGCCAGCCGCCGC